rnacentral:piRNA from 2 species
UAACUGCGAAGUCGAUCAGGUCCGG